UGGGGCAUCGUCCAACGGCUAGGACAGCGGUUUUUGGUGCCGUCAAUGGGGGUUCGAAUCCCUCUGCCCCAGCCA
rnacentral:tRNA from 1 species